rnacentral:misc_RNA from 1 species
CUGCUCUCCUGCAGCAUCAGGCAGCAUGACAACCCAGCGAUGGAUUCUGGCAUUCUGCCUUUCACUGGCCUCAGUUUUUGGCACAGUGGAAUUGUUCAAGACCAAAAAAAGAAAAAAAAAAAAAAAAAAAAAAAAAAA